AGCGGCGGACGGGUGAGUAACGCGUGGGAAUAUGCCCUUCUCUAAGGAAUAGCCUCGGGAAACUGAGAGUAAUACCUUAUACGCCCUUCGGGGGAAAGAUUUGUCGGAGAAGGAUCAGCCCGCGUAAGAUUAGAUAGUUGGUGGGGUAAUGGCCUACCAAGUCUACGAUCUUUAGCUGGUUUUAGAGGAUGAUCAGCAACACUGGGACUGAAACACGGCCCAGACUCCUACGGGAGGCAGCAGUGGGGAAUCUUAGACAAUGGGCGCAAGCCUGAUCUAGCCAUGCCUCGUGUGUGAUGAAGGCCUUAGGGUCGUAAAGCACUUUCGCCAGGGAUGAUAAUGACAGUACCUGGUAAAGAAACCCCGGCUAACUCCGUGCCAGCAGCCGGGGUAAUACGGAGGGGGUUAGCGUUGUUCGGAAUUACUGGGCGUAAAGCGCGCGUAGGCGGAUCAAAAAGUUGGGGGUGAAAUCCCAGGGCUCAACCCUGGAACUGCCUCCAAAACUCCUGGUCUUGAGUUCGAGANGGGUGAGUGGAAUCCCGAGUGUAGAGGUGAAAUUCGUAGAUAUUCGGAGGAACACCAGUGGCGAAGGCGGCUCACUGGCUCGAUACUGACGCUGAGGUGCGAAAGUGUGGGGAGCAAACAGGAUUAAAUACCCUGGUAGUCCACACCGA
rnacentral:rRNA from 1 species